rnacentral:rRNA from 1 species
AUGACUCGGGGUGUUCUGAGUCUUCACCUUCCAUCCUUGCACCAGUUGGCGCAGCUUGUUCUCCAUCAUCGCCGGAAGCACAUCGGUAAGCUUGGUCCUCAGUUUCGCCGUUCCGCGAGCCAGCUCAUGGGAAUGAUGGAUUUCGAGUCACUUUUCCCUGUCUGGGAAUCGACCUCCAAGAAGGAAGAAACUUGCGGGACACGGGCAUCAGUCGUAAAUGUUUUCAUGGCCAGUAUGGUAGCUCCCGAGACAAGCUAUCGGAAGGAGGCACCAAUCAAUCCGUCCGCUGCAGCCGACAAUGCUGCGGUGGGCGUUGAGCAGCAAGGUGGCCCACAACUCACCUAUAGCAGCGGGAGGCUACUGAGUGGCUCUUUAACACCCCAAUAUCAAGGGAUUCACCAGAUGACAAAGCACUCUGGUUGA